GCUAUAUUCAUAAAAAUGUUAACUAUUGGCAUAUUUCCUGAUAAAUUAUCUAUUUUUUGUCUUCCAGGGUGAAGAGUUUUAGUGUCUUGUCAUUGACCUAAUCAAAUAAUCAUUACUUCUGAUAAGUGGCUGUGUUGCAGUAGCAGAAGAGAAUGAAAUGCCAGCAGACGUCAUACCGAAUCCUGAUCAAUCCUUGACAUUCAAAACUUUGAUGUCAUCAUUUGGUGAUCGACAAAACACAAAAUGAUCAACAAAGUAUAUUUGCGUCAAUGUUAUGUAGAAAUGGGGCAAUGAUUGCAAAGCUUCUGCACUCAUCAUUAUAUAAUGAAAU
rnacentral:lncRNA from 1 species